ensembl:lncRNA
CUUUCGAUGUUCUGCAGUCAUGGUACCACGGAUAUUUUUUGGAAUACUACGAUGAUUCCAAGAAGUCGGGGUAAAAGCCAUAUCAACAUGCAAGGUACCCUUGGUAGUCAUCUGACAUGUUGGUCCCUUGAUGACCAGGUCUGAUGCCAUGUGGAGCAUCUCCUUUGAGCGGCCUUCUGGAAGCAGGAGUGCCAUUGUCCACGAGAGCCUUCAUGGGUCCCUGAAGCAGGGAAAUCAAGCAGAAGUCCACUGAUGGCCCGGGUGAGUGAACUACUUCUGGGCUCUUGUUCCUGAGUAAAGCACUGCAGUAUCUGCAGACAGUUGCUUCUCCAACUGGUCUGUUCAAAAGUCGGUGCGAGAAGAACGCAGUAUUGGCAUCGUUGGUCUCCUUGCUGCCAGUGCUUGGAGUCCUGGUAAACUUGCUGCAACACUAACUAUAUAGGCAACCAAUCUAGUAACUGCUAUAAAUGAUAGGAAAGAUGGCUGAAAAUAUGAUAUAUUUGCACAGGCUUUGGAAGACUGAAUGUAUGUAGUCAAACAAAUAAGCUCAUUUGGGUUGGUUGAAAUGAUUUAACAGUCUUGAUACAGCCGCAAUGGAUACAUUUGGUGUCUUGAGCAUUUUACAUUUGAAUGAGUUGGGAUGUAGUCGCAGCAAACUGAUUUCAAAAGUGAAGGGCCUGCCCUUGCUUUAAUUUGACAUUUCUUCAAUUCUAACCGUUUUAAUCUCAUAUCAUUUGCAAGUGAUAGCUUAAAUGUCACUUCACUAUAGGUUUUGUGCUAAAAGUUAAUAUGGUAAAGAGGAGUUGCUCAAUUAGUUUAUAUUUUGUAUACGUGUUAUUUUUUGUUAAAUGAAAACACUAUAUGCUAUCUGCAGCCAGUCGCAGCUUGGAUUUAUAUGUUCAAAGGUCUACCAGUUGCAAUGUAGCUCUUAAUAUUCUUGAUAAAUAUGUAAUUUAGACUGUUUUUGUUCCUCAGGUCCCUUGAUGACCAGGUCAGACAUGUGGCCCAGUGGAGGCUGCAGUGCUGUUCUCAAGGAGAGACCUUGGUUUGGACUUGGCUGAGGUCCUUGACGCAGGGAAAUCAAGCAGAAGUCCACUGAUGGCCCAGGUGAGUGAACUACUUCUGGGCUCUUGUUCCUGAGUAAAGCACUGCAGUAUCUGCAGACAGUUGCUUCUCCAACUGGUCUGUUCAAAAGUCGGUGCGAGAAGAACGCAGUAUUGGCAUCGUUGGUCUCCUUGCUGCCAGUGCUUGGAGUCCUGGUAAACUUGCUGCAACACUAACUAUGUAGGCAACAAAUCUAAUAGCUUCUAUAAAUGAUACGAACGGCUAAAAAUAUGAUUUUCAGCCCUACAUAGUUUAUGCCUGGCCUAUGAACUUUUGGGAGCAUAUUUAAUUGAUCUUAGAAUUUUUACCUUGAAGUUUAAAUGUUGUGCAAUUUUAAACUGGAAUAAUUCCCACCACUCUCAAAUGUAUGACUAGCACGCUGUAUUUAGCAGUGGGUCUGCCUAGCCUUCGAUGACUUGGGCAUGUGCGUUGAGUGCACGGCAGAGGCAUGCAUGUAGUUGUCCAAUAAAAUAAUCGAUGCAGAGUGAAAUAAUUACAGGUUUAUAGCCAGAUACUUUACUACUGAUACUACUGUGUUGGGCUGUAGUCUUGGCAAUGUGACUGAUCUGCUUCUUCUGGACCAACAGGCACGGCUAUGGGUUCACCCUCGUCUAUGGAAGGAACACGUGCUGGUGGCCGCCCUUCAGGUAUUGAACACUUCUCUUAAUUCAUACUGAAUGAAGCACUGCAUAGUCUAAAAUACAUGAAGACUCAUCUGGUGGGUCUUAGUUUGAACUUUGUAUUGGUCAUUUACCAAGGCAUUUAGGAUCCUUGUUCCCAUCUUGCUGUGGAUAUGACCAUAAAGCAGAUCUAUUCCAGUGGGUUCCGCUAGCAACACUGCUGUGGACACCUGCUGGGAACAUCUUAUUUCAAUGUAAAGUGUCCUCGACUGGCAUUCAGCCGUAUGAGAUGUCUGUCUAAGUGAUUACUGAUGAGCAACUUGUAUUUUGUUUUAAUUAUUAAACAUGAAUGCGCUAUUACAGGUGGUGUCCAGACUGACGUACAACAUGUGGAUCGUGGCUGCACCGUCAUACCAGUUCUAGAUGUAGGUAUGAGAUGGUAUUCUGAUGCCUGAACGCCGGACCAUUUUUCAAAGAGGGCCAGUGACUAUCCCAAGUCUGUUCCUUACGCAAUGGUCCCAAAGCAAUUGCUCUCUGCUGAUGGUUGUACAUUGGCUUUAUAUAGCUUAUUUCUCAUCUUCAGGAGCAACAAUAUUUGCAGUUAAAGUGACUAAAAUCUAUACCCUUCAUGGCUUUGUAUGUGUUCUUAAUGUUCUUAUCUUCACAUGUUGCAGCUUUCGUUGAUGCUUGAUGAGCAGACCAAGAAACGAGAAAUCGACUUCUCUACAAAAUUUCCUGUCAUGUCUGUCAGUUUCAAUAAAAUGAAAUGGUACC